rnacentral:rRNA from 1 species
UACGUAGGGGGCGAGCGUUGUCCGGAGUUACUGGGCGUAAAGCGCACGCAGGCGGUCUGCUAAGUUUGGAGUGACAGUUGGUGGCUUAACUGCCAAAGUGCUUCGAAAACUGACAGACUUGAGGGCUUCAGAGGGACACGGAAUUCCGGGUGGAGUGGUGAAAUGCGUAGAGAUCCGGAGGAACACCAAAGGCGAAGGCAGCGUCCUGGGGAGUACCUGACGCUCAGGUGCGAAAGCCAGGGGAGCGAACGGG